rnacentral:rRNA from 1 species
CCUACGGGUGGCUGCAGUGGGGAAUAUUGGACAAUGGGCGAAAGCCUGAUCCAGCCAUGCCGCGUGUGUGAAGAAGGCCUUCGGGUUGUAAAGCACUUUCAGUGGGGAAGAAAGCCUUGGGGCUAAUACCCUCGAGGAAGGACAUCACCCACAGAAGAAGCACCGGCUAACUCCGUGCCAGCAGCCGCGGUAAUACGGAGGGUGCGAGCGUUAAUCGGAAUUACUGGGCGUAAAGCGCGCGUAGGCGGUCUGAUAAGCCGGUUGUGAAAGCCCCGGGCUCAACAUGGGAACGGCAUCCGGAACUGUCAGGCUAGAGUGCAGGAGAGGAAGGUAGAAUUCCCGGUGUAGCGGUGAAAUGCGUAGAGAUCGGGAGGAAUACCAGUGGCGAAGGCGGCCUUCUGGACUGACACUGACGCUGAGGUGCGAAAGCGUGGGUAGCAAACAGGAUUAGAUACCCCUGUAGUC